GUACUACUCCCUCCGUCCGGAAAUACUUGUCAUCAAAAUGGAUAAAAGAAGAUGUAUCUAGACGUAUUUUAGUUCUAGAUACAUUCAUUUUUAUCCAUUUUGAUGACAAGUAUUUUCGGACGGAGGGAGUACAAU
rfam:Triticum aestivum genome assembly, contig: Triticum_aestivum_CS42_TGACv1_scaffold_405454_5BL